rnacentral:rRNA from 1 species
GACGAACGCUGGCGGCGUGCUUAACACAUGCAAGUCGAACGGAAAGGCCCUGCUUGCAGGGUCCUCGAGUGGCGAACGGGUGAGUAACACGUGGGUGAUCUGCCCUGCACUUCGGGAUAAGCUUGGGAAACUGGGUCUAAUACCGGAUAGGAGCCAUCUUUAGUGUGGUGGUUGGAAAGUUUUUUCGGUGUAGGAUGAGCUCGCGGCCUAUCAGCUUGUUGGUGGGGUAAUGGCCUACCAAGGCGGCGACGGGUAGCCGGCCUGAGAGGGUGUACGGCCACAUUGGGACUGAGAUACGGCCCAGAGUCCGACGGGAGGCAGCAGGGGGGAAUAUUGCACAAUGGGCGCAAGCCUGAUGCAGCGACGCCGCGUGGGGGAUGAAGGCCUUCGGGUUGUAAACUCCUUUCGCUAGGGACGAAGCUUUUUUGUGACGGUACCUAGAUAAGAAGCACCGGCUAACUACGUG